rnacentral:lncRNA from 1 species
GGGGAGUCAUACAGCUCAGAGAAAUAAUCCACAGCAGCCUGCUUAAUACCUUGCUGAGAAUCAAAAGUGUUGUCGUUAUGGUGGAUUUUAAAGAUAGAUGAUUUAGCCUUCCUGAAAUUUGCAAUCAAGUGAAAAAACUUGUUAUUUUUGUCACCCAAUUUGCACCACAUUUGUCUUGAUUUCUGCCUCCAAAUAGAUUCCAUAUGAUUG